UGACGCUCGGGAUUGAGUCACCUGUGGGGUCAUGAUGUACUGUUGGCCGUUAACGGCCCUCCUGAGUGCCGCGGCCUCUUCCUUCGGAUUCUUUGUUUGCUCACGGAGCACAGAGUUUCCAUACUCCGUCCGUGAUGAUCCUCCAGAAAAGUUCUUGCCCAACUAGGGCUUACUGGCCAAAGGUCUGACGUUAAAUCAGGAAAGCAAAUAUUCAACCACCACUUGUUUGCCAUAUCAGCACAUUUUCAACUCUAUACC